GAUGAACGCUGGCGGCGUGCCUAAUACAUGCAAGUCGAGCGAACAGAUGAGGAGCUUGCUCCUCUGACGUUAGCGGCGGACGGGUGAGUAACACGUGGAUAACCUACCUAUAAGACUGGGAUAACUUCGGGAAACCGGAGCUAAUACCGGAUAAUAUAUUGAACCGCAUGGUUCAAUAGUGAAAGACGGUUUUGCUGUCACUUAUAGAUGGAUCCGCGCCGCAUUAGCUAGUUGGUAAGGUAACGGCUUAUCAAGGCAACGAUGCGUAGCCGACCUGAGAGGGUGAUCGGCCACACUGGAACUGAGACACGGUCCAGACUCCUACGGGACGCAGCAGUAGGGAAUCUUCCGCAAUGGGCGAAAGCCUGACGGAGCAACGCCGCGUGAGUGAUGAAGGUCUUCGGAUCGUAAAACUCUGUUAUUAGGGAAGAACAAAUGUGUAAGUAACUAUGCACGUCUUGACGGUACCUAAUCAGAAAGCCACGGCUAACUACGUG
rnacentral:rRNA from 1 species